rnacentral:rRNA from 1 species
GAGCCCGCACAAGCAGUGGAGUAUGUUGUUUAAUUCGAAGCAACGCGAAGAACCUUACCAGGUCUUGACAUCUGCGGAAUAAAGCGUAAUGGCUUUAGUGCCCUUCGGGGAGCCGCAAGACAGGUAGUGCAUGGUUGUCGUCAGCUCGUGUCGUGAGAUGUUGGGUUAAGUCCCGCAACGAGCGCAACCCUUACGGAUAGUUGCUCAUCCCAUAAACAGGAAAGCACUCUAUUCGGACUGCCGUUGACAAAACGGAGGAAGGCGGGGAUGAUGUCAAAUCAUCAUGCUCUUUAUGAUCUGGGCUACAAACGUACUACAAUGGCGCGAACAAAGGGGAGCGAAAGGGGCGACCCGGAGCAAAUCCCAAAAACGCGUCCCAGUUCGGAUUGCAGGCUGCAACUCGCCUGCAUGAAGUUGGAAUUGCUAGUAAUCGCGGGUCAGCAUACCG